rnacentral:lncRNA from 1 species
AAAAUGACGGCCACUUUCGAUACAGAUGAUGUUGACAAUCUUUCAGUAAAUCCAAACCCUCUGUCCACCAAGAUUCCAAUAGAACAUGGGGCGUUUCUAAGCAGCUGUUAAACAACCAAAAAAUAUUGUUAUUCUGAAAAUUACAGGUACUUGAAAUAAUGGUUGACCUCUCUUGUUCUUAUUACCUUACGAUUCACAUGUCUGAAACCAGGAUGACCUUCAUCCAGGGUACCGUCUGCUUUCACUCUCUUAUGGAAGGGCAACAAAAUAAGGGAAACCAUCAAGUCUUCUGCUAAAACACUAAUAUCGUGUGGCAUGCUAUUGAAUGUGGAAAGUACUAGCAUUCGGCUAAGCAUGAUUCCACCAUCCACAUUUUCAUUUGUGUGAGUUUGAAAAGCACGGGUGAUUUCGUCUCUCAUUUCUGUGACUGAGUUAUCGGUUAUUGUCAUAUUGUCUACUCCUUCACCAGGUACCAGCGUUGAAGCUAUCUUUUCCGUCAGCUCAAUCAUGUCAGUGACAUGAACAAAAAGUCCAGGCGCAGGUUUGCCUCGAGAGAUCUCCAUUAAGCUGAUGCCAGAUUCCAAAUUAUGAGUUCCAUGCAGGCAUAGCAAAAUUCUAAGUUCGCUUGAAGGAGCAAGCCACCGGAGAGUCAUCCGUUGAACUGGUACGCGUUUCCUUGCCCGUUCUAUUAUAUGCUUCACAACAAACGGUGUGUGUAUCACAGAUAAGAAUAUCAGAAUCACCAUCGAGAUACAUGUUGUGACAUCGAUCUUUCCUUGCUGCAAUUUAAUUCAUUUAUAUUUUAGCUUUACUCCGUUAUUUUUAUAGAAUUAUAAUCACAUUGGAAAGAGUAAACUAACCCUGAGUGCAUCAACAGCGAAGUAUACGUGAAAAUGACCCUUGGCCGUCAAAAGUAAUCCAACUGCUACCAAUUCUGGCCUAUGGUAACCUAACGUUAAGCCACAGAUGAGUGUUCCACCCACUUUUCCGAUUGUUGCGAUCAGUAUAAGACAGAAAAGCCUCACCC